rnacentral:rRNA from 1 species
AUACGGAGGAUCCGAGCGUUAUCCGGAUUUAUUGGGUUUAAAGGGAGCGUAGGUGGGAUAUUAAGUCAGCUGUGAAAGUUUGGGGCUCAACCUUAAAAUUGCAGUUGAUACUGGUUUCCUUGAGUACGGUACAGGUGGGCGGAAUUCGUGGUGUAGCGGUGAAAUGCUUAGAUAUCACGAAGAACUCCGAUCGCGAAGGCAGCUCACCGGGCCGGAACUGACACUGAUGCUCGAAAGUGCGGGUAUCAAACAGGAUUAGAUACCCUGGUAGUCCGCACAGUAAACGAUGAAUACUCGCUGUUUGCGAUACACUGUAAGCGGCCAAGCGAAAGCGUUAAGUAUUCCACCUGGGGAGUACGCCGGCAACGGUGAAACUCAAAUGAAUUGACGGGG